CCGCCCUCACAUUCCCUGCUCAGGCCCCAUAUAUCUGCGCCUGGAGCCACGACGCGAGCCCCCGAGCCCCUCGGGUGCAGGGUCCUGCCCGCAUCCCCACGCCUCCCGCCCAGCCCUUCUGCCGGCCGCCGCCCGGAGUCCCCGCUUAAGGUGGUUCCUCCCUCCGGGCGACAGACGACCUCCAGGUUUACAUGGAAGAUUCACUUCCAAAUAAUGUCAGUCACCAGAGACACCAGGUGUGAGAGGAGGCCAAAUCUGAAGUCCUUUCCAGGGAGUGGCUCUGUUCAUCUUAUUCUCCAGCCAAAGUAGG
rnacentral:lncRNA from 1 species